GUCCUUCUCCCCACUUAAGAUAGGUGUUUUUGAGCAAAUAUUUGUGGAGUCCAAGCAUAUGUUUCAGCUGAUCUUCUGUCAUAUUGUCCAAAAGUAUUACAAUAAUACUAGCUUUACUCUCCAAAAAUUGCCAUGACUUUGCCAUCUCAAACUCAAAAUUGCACCACUGGCUCUGCAAAAAGUUUUUAGAAACAAUUACAAGAGCCUUGCGACUUUUGAGAAGUCCUUCAUUAACUAUGUUUGAUGUUAUAGGGAUUCCUGGUGUAAAAUCUCUGAAAUGUAAGCAAAGUCGAAAGGGUGGCACUCCGUCUUCUAGUUUAGGAACAAGUUUCUCUCUUACCCAUUCCUCAUCCGCAUUUGAAUAGAUAACAAAAGCAUCAUAGUCAUUUCCUAGCACCUGCUGUGUGUAGAGGCGCCGGUAACACCAAUAACAUAGAAAGUGCAGAUAUUUGUGGUGGUAACAGUAAUACACUAUGAUUGUAAUUGAACCACAUAGAAUAAUAGCCAUCAAACAAGCAAACACAGGUAGGCCCACACUGCAGCUGAUGCUUACAGUGCUCAGCCUAAAGCCUUUCCAAUUAUCUGGAGUUUUGCACAGCAUAUAUUCCGUAUGAUGCAGAAUUCUCUCUUUUUGCGCCUGGACCCAAAGCAAAAAAUUAGCUUGGCUGCAAGAACAAUCAAACGGAUUCAGAGAAAUGUCAACUUUUGAAACAUUUGCAGACAGUAUCUGAAUCGUGUCCUCAAGCAUUCCUGUGAAGUGAUUAGUACUUAGGUCUAGUUCAGUAAGUGCUGAGAGUGGUUUAAGUAAAGCAGAUUGCAGUUCCAUCAGUUUGUUCUUACUUAGAUCUAACUCUUGCAAUAAACUAAGACUCUUAAAUGUCUCUUCAGGAAUAUGGUCAAGGCUGCAAGCAGAAAGGUUCAAAAAAUG